GUGCCAGCCGCCGCGGUAAUACGUAGGGUGCGAGCGUUAAUCGGAAUUACUGGGCGUAAAGCGUGCGCAGGCGGUUUUGUAAGCCAGAUGUGAAAUCCCCGGGCUUAACCUGGGAAUGGCAUUUGGGACUGCAAGGCUGGAGUGUGGCAGAGGAGACUGGAAUUCCUGGUGUAGCAGUGAAAUGCGUAGAUAUCAGGAGGAAUACCGAUGGCGAAGGCAGGUCUCUGGGCUGACACUGACGCUCAUGCACGAAAGCGUGGGGAGCAAACAGGAUUAGAUACCAGAGGAGUAC
rnacentral:rRNA from 1 species